CCCAACUAUCCCUAUUAAUCAUUACGGUGGUCCUAGAAACCAACAAAAUAAGAUCAAACGUCCUAUUUCGUUAUUCCAUGCUAAUCUAUUCAAGCUUUAGCCUGCUUUAAACACUCUAAUUUUUUCAAAGUAACAGUCCUGAUUCCCCACGACACCAAAUUAAUGACAUCGUGGUUCGUCAGAAGGGAGGAACUGGUAGAACCAGUACGUACCGGAGGCACGACCGACUCACCCGUCCCGAAGUUCAACUACGAGCUUUUUAACUGCAACAACUUUAAUAUACGCUAUUGGAGCUGGAAUUACCGCGGCUGCUGGCACCAGACUUGCCCUCCAA
rnacentral:misc_RNA from 1 species